rnacentral:misc_RNA from 1 species
UCCGAGUUUCCUCGGCAGUCCUGCCAGAGUGCUCCCUUUCAGGUUAGCAACUGACAGCAAGGGUUGCGCUCGUUAAAGGACUUAACCCAACAUCUCACGACACGAGCUGACGACAGCCAUGCAGCACCUGUGUAACCGUCUGUAUUUCUACAGAACCCAGUGUUUCCACCGGUAGCGAUUACAUGUCAAGCCCAGGUAAGGUUCCUCGCGUAGUGUCGAAUUAAACCACAUGUUCCACCGCUUGUGCGGACCCCCGUCAAUUUCUUUGAGUUUUAAUCUUGCGACCGUACUCCCCAGGCGGAUCACUUAACGCGUUAGCUUCGACACGGAUUCUGCUUCGCAAAACCCAUAUCCAGUGAUCAUCGUUUACGGCGUGGACUAC